rnacentral:misc_RNA from 1 species
UAUCAUGCACGGUGCAAUAGUAGUCAGGCCAAUGACAGAGAGAUUCCAAAUGCUGAGAGGGAUCGCGGCUAAGCGAAAUGGAGCGGUGCCGACAACUGAAUCAAAAUCAUUUAAGUGAGGGGCUUUCCCCUAAAUUAGGUGGCACCGCGGCAAAGAUCGUCCUAUUC